AUCACCACUGCCGAUCAGGACAAUUCCAUCAACGUAUUUGAGUGCAUCCACAUCGUUAAUCAAUCCGUCAGCGUCAUUGUCACCGCUUGCCGAGGCGUAGAUGUCACACCUGAAAAGCUGAAUCGAAAAUAUGCGGAGAUCUACAUGGCGUUGGAUAUUGUACUGCGUGGUGUGAGUAAUAUUAGACUUGCGGCUAUGCUCGCGUCGAUGCACGGAGAUGGUAUUGCUAAAAUGGUUCACUCUGCUUUAGAUACAGAGAAUAAAAUUCGAGGCGCUGAAACUUGGCCUGCAGUGGAAGUGCACGCUGUUGAGCAUCAGGCCAGCAUAGAUGCAUUUUCGAGUGUAAGAUUUGAGUUGCCAGCGGAGACGAUUGCUGCAGGGGAUGAGGUUGCUGCAAGUCUUGCACCCGUGGCAAGUGAGCAGCAGGAUCAGAAGCCAGAGAAACAGGAGGAACCUGAGGCACCAAAAGAUCCGUUUGCGGCAAGUGAGUCAAUAAACAAGCAGGAAGAUUUGGUGGGUGAAUUUAAGAAGGAUAAGAAUCAGUCCUCAGAUUUAUCAGUUGCAUUGGCGGGGCUGGAAGUGACUACCUUGCCACCUGCAGAGGCAACGCAAGCUACACAUAUAAGCGUGGAGGGAUUUGAAGGGGAUUAUGGUGGCAUUGAGUUCAG
rnacentral:misc_RNA from 1 species